rnacentral:rRNA from 1 species
GACGAACGCUGGCGGCGCGCCUAACACAUGCAAGUCGAACGAGCGAGAGAGAGCUUGCUUUCUCGAGCGAGUGGCGAACGGGUGAGUAACGCGUGAGGAACCUGCCUCAAAGAGGGGGACAACAGUUGGAAACGACUGCUAAUACCGCAUAAGCCCACGGGUCGGCAUCGACCAGAGGGAAAAGGAGCAAUCCGCUUUGAGAUGGCCUCGCGUCCGAUUAGCUAGUUGGUGAGGUAACGGCCCACCAAGGCAACGAUCGGUAGCCGGACUGAGAGGUUGAACGGCCACAUUGGGACUGAGACACGGCCCAGACUCCUACGGGAGGCAGCAGUGGGGAAUAUUGCACAAUGGGGGAAACCCUGAUGCAGCGACGCCGCGUGGAGGAAGAAGGUCUUCGGAUUGUAUACUCCUGUUGUUGGGGAAGAUAAUGACGGUACCCAACAAGGAAGUGACGGCUAACUACGUGCCAGCAGCCGCGGUAAAACGUAGGUCACAAGCGUUGUCCGGAAUUACUGGGUGUAAAGGGAGCGCAGGCGGGAAGACAAGUUGGAAGUGAAAUCUAUGGGCUCAACCCAUAAACUGCUUUCAAAACUGUUUUUCUUGAGUAGUGCAGAGGUAGGCGGAAUUCCCGGUGUAGCGGUGGAAUGCGUAGAUAUCGGGAGGAACACCAGUGGCGAAGGCGGCCUACUGGGCACCAACUGACGCUGAGGCUCGAAAGUGUGGGUAGCAAACAGGAUUAGAUACCCUGGUAGUCCACACCGUAAACGA